UACAGAGGGUGCGAGCGUUAAUCGGAAUUACUGGGCGUAAAGCGUGCGUAGACGGUUAUUUAAGUCGGGUGUGAAAGCCCCCGGGCUCAACCUGGGAAUUGCAUUCGAGACUGAAUAGCUAGGGUACGGUAGAGGGAAGCGGAAUUUCCGGUGUAGCGGUGAAAUGCGUAGAUAUCGGAAGGAACAUCAGUGGCGAAAGCGGCUUCCUGGACCAGUACCGACGUCAGGCACGAAAGCGUGGGGAGCAAACAGG
rnacentral:rRNA from 1 species